rnacentral:rRNA from 1 species
GAUGAACGCUGGCGGCGUGCCUAAUACAUGCAAGUCGAGCGAAUGGAUUAAGAGCUUGCUCUUAUGAAGUUAGCGGCGGACGGGUGAGUAACACGUGGGUAACCCGCCCACAAGACUGGGAUAACUCCGGGAAACCGGGGCUAAUACCGGAUAACAUUUUGAACCGCAUGGUUCGAAAUUGAAAGGCGGCUUCGGCUGUCACUUAUGGAUGGACCCGCGUCGCAUUAGCUAGUUGGUGAGGUAACGGCUCACCAAGGCAACGAUGCGUAGCCGACCUGAGAGGGGGAUCGGCCACACUGGGACUGAGACACGGCCCAGACUCCUACGGGAGGCAGCAGUAGGGAAUCUUCCGCAAUGGACGAAAGUCUGACGGAGCAACGCCGCGUGAGUGAUGAAGGCUUUCGGGUCGUAAAACUCUGUUGUUAGGGUAGAACAAGUGCUAGUUGAAUAAGCUGGCACCUUGACGGUACCUAACCAGAAAGCCACGGCUAACUACGUGCCAGCCGCCGCAGUAA